rnacentral:rRNA from 1 species
AUUGAACGCUGGCGGCAUGCCUUACACAUGCAAGUCGAACGGCAGCACGGGAGCAAUCCUGGUGGCGAGUGGCGAACGGGUGAGUAAUAUAUCGGAACGUGCCCAGUCGUGGGGGAUAACGUAGCGAAAGCUACGCUAAUACCGCAUACGAUCUAUGGAUGAAAGCGGGGGAUCGCAAGACUUCGCGCGAUUGGAGCGGCCGAUAUCAGAUUAGGUAGUUGGUGAGGUAAAGGCUCACCAAGCCAACGAUCUGUAGCUGGUCUGAGAGGACGACCAGCCACACUGGGACUGAGACACGGCCCAGACUCCUACGGGAGGCAGCAGUGGGGAAUUUCGGACAAUGGGCGCAAGCCUGAUCCAGCAAUGCCGCGUGCAGGAUGAAGGCCUUCGGGUUGUAAACUGCUUUUGUACGGAACGAAACGGCGAGCUCUAAUACAGUUUGCUAAUGACGGUACCGUAAGAAUAAGCACCGGCUAACUACGUGCCAGCAGCCGCCGUAA